rnacentral:ncRNA from 1 species
CGACCCCAGGGCAGGCGAGAUAACCCGCUAAGUUUAAGCAUAUCAAUAAGUGGAGGAAAAGAAACUUACAAGGAUUCCCUUCGUAACGGCAAGCGAACAGCGAACAACCCAGCCUUAGAAUCGGGCAGCUCCGUCGUCUAAAUUGUAGACUGGAGAAGCAUCGUCAGCGGCGGAUCGCGCCCAAGUCCCCUGGAAGGGGGCGCUAGAGAGGGUGAGAGCCCCGUUGUGCCCGGACCCUGUCGCACCACGAGGCACUGUCUAUGAGUCGGGUUGUUUGGGAAUCCAGCCCAAAUCGGGCAGUGAAUUCCGUCCAAGGCUAAAUACGAGCGAGAGACCGAUAGCGAACAAGUACCGCAAGUGAAAGAUGAAAAGGACUUUGAAAAGAGAGUCAAAGAGUGCUUAAAAUUGACGGGAGGGAAGUGGAUAGGGGCCGGCGAUGCACCCCGGUCAGAUGUGGAACGGCGACGAGCCGGUCCCCCGAUCGACUCGGGGCGUGGACCAGCGUGGAUUGGGGGGGCGGCCAAAGACCGGGCUCUCGAUAUGCUCGUGGAACGCUGUCUCCUCAAUUGUGGCAGGCAGCGCGCGCCUCCGGCGUGCUUCGGCAUCUGCGCACUCCGGACGCUGGCCUAUGGGCUCCCCAUUCGACCCGUCUUGAAACACGGACCAAGGAGUCUGACAUGUGUGCGAGUCAACGGGCGGGUAAACCCGUAAGGCGCAAGGAAGCUGAUUGGUGGUAUCCCCACGAGGGGUGCACCGCCGACCGACCUUGAUCUUCUUAGAAGGGUUCGAGUACGAGCAUACCUGUCGGGACCCGAAAGAUGGUGAACUAUGCCUGAGCGGGGCGAAGCCAGAGGAAACUUUGGUGGAGGCCCGCAGCGAUACUGACGUGCAAAUCGUUCGUCUGACUUGGGUGGACUGCUCGAGCUUCUCCCGCGGCAAGAGCGGGUCGCCGCGUGCCGACUGGGGGACGGACUGGGAACGGUUCCUUCGGGGGCCUUCCCCGCG